GGAUGAACUAAAAAAGAAAAUGGUUGAAGCAGAGAGUUCGCAAAAUUUACAAAGCACCCAAGAUUCUACUAAUUGGACAAAUGAUAUAUAUUCAAAAGUCAAAGGAUCUGAAAAAAGAGGACGUGUACGUUGUCUUGGCAAGCUUCCACAUCAAGCAAGUUCAUCUCAAAGCUCUUAUACAAACAAUAGGAUUCAAAAGUUGGAGAAUUUGCUUGGAAACCUUGUAGCUAUGCUUAAAGUACGAUUUGAAGAAGAUCCACAAAUUAAUCAAGUCUUAGAAGCUAUAGAUCAAGAGGUACCUACAAAUGGUUCUACCAGUAAAGAUCAUCAAACUACAAACAAUAUUAACUAGAGGUGAGUUGAAAUUUAGAUGCUAAUGAAGAUGCGAGCCGGCGACAAAAUGUUAUUCCAGGAACAUGAUUUAGAUGGUAAUGAAGAUGUGAGCCGGGGAUAAAAUGUUCAAGUGUUUGGUUUUUACUUUGUCUAUUUGUCUAGCAACUCGAAUUAACUCUUUUAUACAUUUAGAAAUUUAGAAACUUGUUACAUUUUAGUGAUGAUUCCCUCCAUGUAAAGAGGGUCAUGGUGCACCAAAAAUAUACACUUAGGAAGGACUAUGCACAUGGUACUAAAAAACAAGGCAAAGUGAAUUGGAAAAUUUUCUAUAGCACUACUAAUGCUAGAUCAUUUCACAA